UACGUAGGCAGCGAGCGUUGUUCGGAGUUACUGGGCGUAAAGGGUGUGUAGGCGGUUCUCUAAGUUUGGUGUGAAAUCUCCCGGCUCAACCGGGAGGGUGCGCCGAAAACUGGAGGGCUAGAGUGCGGGAAGGGAGAGUAGAAUUCCUGGUGUAGCGGUGAAAUGCGUAGAUAUCAGGAGGAAUACCGGUGGUGCAGACGGCUCUCUGGACCGCGACUGGACGCUGAGACACGAAAGCGUGGGUAGCAAACAGG
rnacentral:rRNA from 1 species